rnacentral:rRNA from 1 species
ACAAUCCUACGGGGGGCAGCAGUGGGGAAUGUUGGGCAAUGGGCGCAAGCCUGACCCAGCAACGCCGCGUGAAGGAAGAAGGCUUUCGGGUUGUAAACUUCUUUUCUCAGGGACGAAGCAAGUGACGGUACCUGAGGAAUAAGCCACGGCUAACUACGUGCCAGCAGCCGCGGUAAUACGUAGGUGGCAAGCGUUAUCCGGAUUUACUGGGUGUAAAGGGCGUGUAGGCGGGAAAGCAAGUCAGAUGUGAAAACCACGGGCUCAACCUGUGGCCUGCAUUUGAAACUGUUUUUCUUUAGUACUUG